UACGUAGGGUGCGAGCGUUGUCCGGAUUUAUUGGGCGUAAAGGGCUCGUAGGCGGUCCAUCGCGUCGGGAGUGAAAAGCUGGGGCUCAACUCCAGUCCUGCUUCCGAUACGGGUGGACUAGAGGUAGGCAGGGGAGAACGGAAUUCCUGGUGUAGCGGUGAAAUGCGUAGAUAUCAGGAGGAACACCUGUGGCGAAAGCGGCUCACUGGACCAUAACUGACGCUGAUGCACGAAAGCUAGGGGAGCAAACAGG
rnacentral:rRNA from 1 species